CAGCCGUAAACUAUGCGCGUUAGGUGUACUGGUGACCACGAGUCACCGGGGUGCCGAAGGGAAACCGUGAAACGUGCCGCCUGGGAAGUACGGUCGCAAGGCUGAAACUUAAAGGAAUUGGGCGGGGGAGCACCACAACGGGUGGAGCCUGCGGUUUAAUUGGAUUCAACGCCGGAAAUCUUACCGGAUAAGACAGCGGAAUGAUUGCCGGGCUGAAGACUCUGCAUGACUAGCUGAGAGGAGGUGCAUGGCGUA
rnacentral:rRNA from 1 species